rnacentral:rRNA from 1 species
AUUGAACUCUGGCGGCAGGCCUAACACAUGCAAGUCGAACGAGUGGCGGACGGGUGAGUAAUUUCUGGGAAACUGCCUGAUGGAGGGGGAUAACUAUUGGAAACGGUAGCUAAUACCGCAUACCAUCAGAUGUGCCCAGCUGGGAUUAGCUAGUUGGUGGGGUAACGGCUCACCAAGGCGACGAUCCCUAGCUGGUCUGAGAGGAUGACCAGCCACACUGGAACUGAGACACGGUCGAGACUCCUACGGUAGGCAGCAGUGGGGAAUAUUGCACAAUGGGGGCAAGCCUGAUGGAGCCAUGCCGCGUGUAUGAAGAAGGCCUUAGGGUUGUAAAGUACUUUCAGCGGGGAGGCGUUACCAGCAGAAGAAGCACAGGCGAACUCAGUGCCAGCCGCCGCGGUAAUAC